UCCGAGUUGUCCCCGGCAGUCCCCUUAGAGUCCCCGGCAUUACCCGCUGGCAACUAAGGGUAGGGGUUGCGUUCGUUGCGGCACUUAAGCCAACACCUCACGGCACGAGCUGACGACAGCCAUGCAGCACCUUCCCGGCGGCUCCGAAGAGAAGGCCCCUUUCGGGGCCGGUCCGUCGGGAUUUAGCCUGGGUAAGGUUCUUCGCGUUGCAUCGAAUUAAGCCACAUGCUCCACCGCUUGUGCGGGCCCCCGUCAAUUCCUUUGAGUUUCAUUCUUGCGAACGUACUCCCCAGGUGGGAUGGUAGAGAGUACGUCC
rnacentral:misc_RNA from 1 species